rnacentral:tRNA from 1 species
CCGCGUGUAACUCAGCUAGUGAGAGAGCCGGGCUGCUUACCCGGCCGGCGCAGGUGCAACUCCUGCCACGCGGU